CACGUAGGCACCAAGCGUUGUCCGGAUUUAUUGGGCGUAAAGAGCUCGUAGGCGGUUCAGUAAGUCGGGUGUGAAAACUUUGGGCUUAACCCAAAGCGUGCAUCCGAUACUGCUGUGACUUGAGUACGGUAGGGGAGCGGGGAAUUCCUAGUGUAGCGGUGAAAUGCGCAGAUAUUAGGAGGAACACCGGUGGCGAAGGCGGCAUCCUGGACCGGCAUUGACGCUGAGGAGCGAAAGCCAGGGGAGCAAACGGG
rnacentral:rRNA from 1 species